rnacentral:tRNA from 1 species
GAAAAAANUCUUUCCUCGGUG